GGAGUUUUGGAGGAGAGGCAGGGAAGGCUCCAGAGACAGGGACAGAGACCCCUGCCAUUGAGUAGCAGAGAAGGAGUGAAAAUGAUUGGCAUCACUCAACUGAACCUCAAGACCCUUAAUCUAAUCGUGGCUGGGAUACAAGCAAGCUGUAGAAGACUGCAGGCAGUACACUUCCUUCUCUUCAAAAUCCAAAAAGAUGAUAAGCUCCUUGAGAACAGACACCUUAUCAGGGCUUAGAACAGUACCUGGCUCACGGUAAGUGCUUAAUUAAUAAUUGAAUGAGUGACCCAAAGAAGAGGGUGCAGCUCCAAACUGCUCAGAAAAUCAUUAGAAAAGAUAAACCCAGGGACAGGAUGGGAAGGGGAUGGGAUUAGUGACCAGAAAUUCUUUCAAGGUUCUUUAUUCUGCGAUUAUAUGAUUCUAGUCUAAUUAAUAAGAUCUUCCUUUAUGUACUUACCCCCACAAUGUAGGAAAAAAG